GGACACAGCAUGAACAUGAGGGCCCCUGCUCAGCUCUUGGGGCUCCUGCUGCUCUGGCUCCCAGGUGCCAGUUGUGACAUCCAGAUGACCCAGUCACCAUCCUCCCUGUCUGCAUCACUAGGAGACACAGUCACCAUCAGUUGCCAGGCCAGUCAGGGCAUUAGCAAAUAUUUAAACUGGUAUCAGCAGAAACCAGGGAAAUCUCCUAAGCUCCUGAUCUAUUAUACAUCUAAUUUAGAAACUGGGGUCCCAUCGAGGUUCAGUGGCAGUGGGUCAGGGACAGAUUAUUCUCUGACCAUCAGUGGCCUACAGGCUGAAGAUGUUGCAGAUUAUUUCUGUCAGCAACAUAACAGUUCCCCUCCCACAGUGUUACAAGUCAUAGCAUAAACCACCCCAGGGAAGCAGGUGUGUGAGGCUGGGCGGCC